rnacentral:rRNA from 1 species
ACGCUCGACACCUACUGGAGGCAGCAGUUAGGAAUAUUGGGCAAUGGAGGAAACUCUGACCCAGCAACGCCGCGUGAAGGAAGAAGGUUUUCGGAUUGUAAACUUCUGAUCUAGGGGAAGAAGGAAGUGACGGUACCCUAGGAGAAAGCCACGGCUAACUACGUGCCUGCAGCCGCGGUAAUCUGAGCGGGCUGGCAAGGC